UGCGCAGGCGGACUUUUAAGUCAGUGGUGAAAUCCCGAGGCUCAACCUCGGAACUGCCAUUGAUACUGGAAGUCUUGAAUUUGGUUGAAGUGGGCGGAAUGUAGCAUGUAGCGGUGAAAUGCUUAGAUAUGCUACAGAACACCGAUCGCGAAGGCAGCUCACUAAGCCAAUAUUGACGCUCAGGCACGAAAGCGUGGGGAGUAAACAGGAUUAGAUACCCUGGUAGUCC
rnacentral:rRNA from 1 species